GCUCUUUGAUGGCUGAGAACAGCCUUUAAUAUCCGAAUCUGUUGGAAGGAAGCAACAGUUAGGAAUACCUUCUUUGAUGCUGGACAUUGUGUGGAGAAAGUGAAAGAUUGGGAGAGGUUAGCGAAUGAAUAAUUUGCACUAGCCAGUAAUGUAUGACUGCACGUAGCUAGUCAGGCAAGCCACACUGGUUAGCUAUCUAUAAAUCGGAUGUUUGUGGGCAGAGUGUUAGAGAGAAGCUCGUGCACGGACCGAUGUCCACGGGGCUGUGCAAACCGAGGCUACCGGGGGGGGGUGUCACUUCGCCACUUCUUGAGGGAAGUGGCAGAUUGAGGUGCUUGCUUGUUCCGACCAGAUUCUAAAUACCUAAGUGAAAUUUGCUAAUGUGUGUAUUGACCCUUGCAAAUUACAGCAGUGAUGCUGAAAACUACAGAUUCUCUCUAAAUCCACCAAUUUACUUCUGUGACAAAAUGUCAUACCAAAGGAUACGGCUGAAAGAGCUAUCAUCACUCUUGGAAUCCAUGCUUCAAUCAUAGCUGCUCAAAACAACCCACAUACAUUUUAAAAGUUCAAUUCUGAAGUAUUAUCAGAUGGGAAAAACACUAGUAUUUUAGCAAUUACUGUGGCCAGAUCUCUCCCACUGCGGGAGUCUAUUGAAAAAUGGCAGCUAUGUGAUGAAACCCAACAGCAGGAAAUGAUGAAGCAAGGUAAUAAUAAAAAGAGAAAUAUUUCCAUUAGUAAAGGAGUGUCUAGUACUCUAUUCAUGUUGUCUUGAUAAAAAUUGAUUAUUGUGUUCAUGGCUCACGGUACUGUUACGGCGUGCUGCUGUCCAAAUAAACUUGUUUGCAAAAUAAAGAUAAAUGACUAUGUUGUAA